rnacentral:rRNA from 1 species
UACGGAAGCAGCAGUGGGGAAUAUUGCACAAUGGGCGCAAGCCUGAUGCAGCCAUGCCGCGUGUAUGAAGAAGGCCUUCGGGUUGUAAAGUACUUUCAGUCGUGAGGAAGGUGUUAAGGUUAAUAACCUUAGCAAUUGACGUUAGCGACAGAAGAAGCACCGGCUAACUCCGUGCCAGCAGCCGCGGUAAUACGGAGGGUGCGAGCGUUAAUCGGAAUUACUGGGCGUAAAGGGCACGCAGGCGGUUAAUUAAGUUGGAUGUGAAAUCCCCGGGCUUAACCUGGGAAUGGCAUUCAAGACUGGUUAGCUAGAGUCUUGUAGAGGGGGUAGAAUUCCAUGUGUAGCGGUGAAAUGCGUAGAGAUGUGGAGGAAUACCGGUGGCGAAGGCGGCCCCCUGGGACAAAGACUGACGCUCAUGUGCGAAAGCGUGGGGAGCAAACAGGGAUUAGAUACC